UAGGAGUGGAGUAAGUCUCCUUGUUAGCAUGC
rnacentral:piRNA from 1 species